rnacentral:rRNA from 1 species
UACGUAGGGUGCGAGCGUUAAUCGGAAUUACUGGGCGUAAAGCGUGCGCAGGCGGUUCUCUAAGACCGAUGUUAAAUCCCCGGGCUUAACCUGGGAACUGCAUUGGUGACUGGCGGGCUAGAGUAUGGCAGAGGGGGGUAGAAUUCCACGUGUAGCAGUGAAAUGCGUAGAGAUGUGGAGGAAUACCGAUGGCGAAGGCAGCCCCCUGGGCCAAUACUGACGCUCAUGCACGAAAGCGUGGGGAGCAAACCGG